GACGAACGCUGGCGGCGCGCUUAACACAUGCAAGUCGAGCGAAGCGGCGGACGGGUGAGUAACACGUGAGUAACCUGCCUUAGACAUUGGGAUAGCCUCGGGAAACCGGGAUUAAUACCAAAUGGUCUAAGAUGGACUCGCGUCGCAUUAGCUAGUUGGUGAGGUAACGGCCCACCAAGGCGACGAUGGGUAGCCGGCCUGAGAGGGUGAACGGACACAUUGGAACUGAGAAGCGGUCCAGACUCUGCGGGAGGGAGGAGUGGGGGAUAGUGCACAAUGGAGGGAACGCUGAUGCAGCGACGCCGCGAGAACGAAGAAGGCUUUCGAGUCGUAAAGUUCGUUUAUAUGGGAAGCGGUACCAGAAGAAAAAGCCCCGGCUAACUACGUGCCAGCAGCCGCGGUAAUUC
rnacentral:rRNA from 1 species